UGGGGAAUAUUGCACAAUGGGCGCAAGCCUGAUGCAGCAACGCCGCGUGAACGAUGAAGGUCUUCGGAUCGUAAAGUUCUGUUGCAGGGGAAGAUAAUGACGGUACCCUGUGAGGAAUCCCCGGCUAACUACGUGCCAGCAGCCGCGGUAAUACGUAGGGGGCUAGCGUUAUCCGGAUUUACUGGGCGUAAAGGGUGCGUAGGUGGUCUUUCAAGUCGGUGGUUAAAGGCUACGGCUCAACCGUAGUUAGCCUCCGAAACUGGAAGACUUGAGUGCAGGAGAGGAAAGUAGAAUUCCCAGUGUAGCGGUGAAAUGCGUAGAUAUUGGGAGGAACACCAGUAGCGAAGGCGGCUUUCUGGACUGCAACUGACACUGAGGCACGAAAGCGUGGGUAGCAAACAGG
rnacentral:rRNA from 1 species